rnacentral:rRNA from 1 species
GACGAACGCUGGCGGCGUGCUUAACACAUGCAAGUCGAACGGAAAGGCCCUGCUUUUGUGGGGUGCUCGAGUGGCGAACGGGUGAGUAACACGUGAGUAACCUGCCCUUGACUUUGGGAUAACUUCAGGAAACUGGGGCUAAUACCGGAUAGGAGCUCCUGCUGCAUGGUGGGGGUUGGAAAGUUUCGGCGGUUGGGGAUGGGCUCGCGGCUUAUCAGCUUGUUGGUGGGGUAGUGGCUUACCAAGGCUUUGACGGGUAGCCGGCCUGAGAGGGUGACCGGCCACAUUGGGUCUGAGAUACGGCCCAGACUCCUACGGGAGGCAGCAGUGGGGAAUAUUGCACAAUGGGCGGAAGCCUGAUGCAGCAACGCCGCGUGCGGGAUGACGGCCUUCGGGUUGUAAACCGCUUUCGCCUGUGACGAAGCGUGAGUGACGGUAAUGGGUAAAGAAGCACCGGCUAACUACGU